GAUGAACGCUGGCGGCGUGCCUAAUACAUGCAAGUCGAGCGAACAGACGAGGAGCUUGCUCCUUUGACGUUAGCGGCUGACGGGUGAGUAACACGUGGAUAACCUACCUAUAAGACUGGGAUAACUUCGGGAAACCGGAGCUAAUACCGGAUAACAUGUUGAACCGCAUGGUUCAACAGUGAAAGACGGUCUUGCUGUCACUUAUAGAUGGAUCCGCGCCGCAUUAGCUAGUUGGUAAGGUAACGGCUUACCAAGGCAACGAUGCGUAGCCGACCUGAGAGGGUGAUCGGCCACACUGGAACUGAGACACGGUCCAGACUCCUACGGGAGGCAGCAGUAGGGAAUCUUCCGCAAUGGGCGAAAGCCUGACGGAGCAACGCCGCGUGAGUGAAGAAGGUCUUCGGAUCGUAAAACUCUGUUAUUAGGGAAGAACAAAUGUGUAAGUAACUAUGCACGUCUUGACGGUACCUAAUCAGAAAGCCACGGCUAACUACGUG
rnacentral:rRNA from 1 species